rnacentral:rRNA from 1 species
GACGAACGCUGGCGGCGCGCUUAACACAUGCAAGUCGAACGGAAAGGCCUGCUUUCCCUUGUGGAUUGCGGGUACUCGAGUGGCGAACGGGUGAGUAACACGUGAGUGAUCUGCCCCCAACUUGGGUAUAAGCCUGGGAAACUGGGUCUAAUUCCCGAUAGGACUGCAGGGUGGUGCCUGUGGUGGAAAACGAUUUUCUAGUGGUUGGGGAUGAGCUCGCGGCCUAUCAGCUUGUUGGUGGGGUAAUGGCCUACCAAGGCGGCGACGGGUAGCCGGCCUGAGAGGGUGGACGGCCACAUUGGGACUGAGAUACGGCCGAGACUCCUACGGGAGGCAGCAGUGGGGAAUAUUGCACAAUGGGCGGAAGCCUGAUGCAGCGACGCCGCGUGGGGGAUGACGGCCUUCGGGUUGUAAACUCCUUUCGACCGCGAGGAAGCCACCUGGUUGGAAGGGUGGUGACGGUAGUGGUAGAAGAAGCACCGGCUAACUACGUG